rnacentral:rRNA from 1 species
CAGCCGCCACGGGAAUACGAAGGGGGCUAGCGUUGUUCGGAUUUACUGGGCGUAAAGGGCGCGUAGGCGGACUGAUAAGUCAGGGGUGAAAUCCCAAGGCUCAACCUUGGAACUGCCUUUGAUACUGUUUGUCUUGAGUUCGAGAGAGGUAAGUGGAACUGCGAGUGUAGAGGUGAAAUUCGUAGAUAUUCGCAAGAACACCAGUGGCGAAGGCGGCUUACUGGCUCGAAACUGACGCUGAGGCGCGAAAGCGUGGGGAGCAAACAGGAUUAGAUACCCGGGUAGUCCCUGUCUCUUAUAC